rnacentral:rRNA from 1 species
GACGAAGGGGGCUAGCGUUGUUCGGAAUUACUGGGCGUAAAGCGUGUGUAGGUGGUUGUCAUAGUCAGGUGUGAAAGCCUUGAGCUCAACUCAAGAAAUGCACUCGAUACUGGGCAGCUAGAGGACCGGAGAGGAUAGUGGAAUUCCCAGUGUAGUGGUGAAAUGCGCAGAUAUCAGGAAGAACACCCGUGGCUAAGGCGGUUCUCUAGGACGGUACUGACGCUGAGACGCGAAAGCGUGGGGAGCGAACAGG